CUACGGGCUUCGGUGGUAAAUAUACUAAAAUUGGAACGAUACAGGGAAGCCCAGCAUGCUCCGUUCGCGAGGAUGAAACCAAAAUCGUCAAGAGUUCCAUAUUUGC
rnacentral:snRNA from 1 species